AUGGACCAUUCCAUCCCUUAUUCCCGUGGCUAUGCAUCGGAUUCGUAUGACGAAGGUCCCGAUGAACAAGUUGAUGAGGAGGGGUUCACGGUGAAGGAGGCCGAAGGUUUCGAGAAGGUAUUCAGUCGGGAUCAUCGGACUACAUUGUUCAAGGAUAUUAGUCUCGCGGAUGAAGCCGUGGUAGAUGGUGGCCAAGGUAUAUCUCUUGGGGUUAGUCCAAGCUCUCAC
rnacentral:rRNA from 1 species